rnacentral:rRNA from 1 species
UAAUACAGAGGGUGCAAACGUUGUUCGGAAUUACUGGGCGUAAAGCGCGUGUAGGCGGCCUCGUGUGUCGGAUGUGAAAUCCCAUGGCUCAACCGUGGAAGGGCAUUCGAAACUACGAGGCUGGAGUGCUGGAGAGGAAGGUGGAAUGCUCGGUGUAGAGGUGAAAUUCGUAGAUAUCGAGCGGAACACCGGUGGCGAAGGCGGCCUUCUGGACAGCAACUGACGCUGAGACGCGAAAGCGUGGGGAGCAAACAGGAUUAGAUACCCUGGUAGUCCACGCCGUAAACGAUGAGUGCUAGGUGUCACGGGCUUUGACCCUCGUGGUGCCGAAGCUAACGCGUUAAGCACUCCGCCUGGGGAGUACGGCCGCAAGGCUA